rnacentral:lncRNA from 1 species
UUCCUCUAUGAUACAAAAAAGCGAAAUAAAAUUGAAUCAUUUAUUUAUCUACGUGGGAUAUUUUAUAUCACUGCUGGAAUAAUUAUUUGUAGACCGAAACAUUGCAAAUCCGAUAGAUUUUUAUAGAAAAUAUGUCACCCCUAAUUUUAGGAACAUUUUAUUUCUUAGCCACAAAUAUUUUAUUUCACUCUAGGAACACAUUUUCC